AACGAACGCUGGCGGCAUGCCUAACACAUGCAGGUCGAACGAGACCUUCGGGUCUAGUGGCGCACGGGUGCGUAACGCGUGGGAAUCUGCCCUUGGGUGCGGAAUAACAGUUAGAAAUGACUGCUAAUACCGCAUAAUGACUCCGGUCCAAAGAUUUAUCGCCCAAGGAUGAGCCCGCGUCGGAUUAGCCAGUUGGUGAGGUAAGAGCUCACCAAGGCGACGAUCCGUAGCUGGUCUGAGAGGAUGAUCAGCCACACUGGGACUGAGACACGGCCCAGACUCCUACGGGAGGCAGCAGUGGGGAAUAUUGGACAAUGGGCGAAAGCCUGAUCCAGCAAUGCCGCGUGAGUGAUGAAGGCCUUAGGGUUGUAAAGCUCUUUUACCCGGGAUGAUAAUGACAGUACCGGGAGAAUAAGCCCCGGCUAACUCCGUGCCAGCCGCCGCUGUAA
rnacentral:rRNA from 1 species